CCUACGGGAGGCAGCAGUGAGGAAUAUUGGUCAAUGGACGAGAGUCUGAACCAGCCAAGUCGCGUGAAGGAUGACUGCCCUAUGGGUUGUAAACUUCUUUUAUAUGGGAAUAACAUGUUCCACGUGUGGGAUUUUGUAUGUACCAUAUGAAUAAGGAUCGGCUAACUCCGGGCCAGCACCCGCGGUAAUACGGAGGAUCCGAGCGUUAUCCGGAUUUUUUGGGUUUAAAGGGAGCGUAGGUGGAUUGUUAAGUUCAUUGUGAAAGUUUGCGGGCCAACCGUAAAAUUGCAGUUGAAACUGGCAGUCUUGAGUACAGUAGAGGUGGGCGGAAUGCGUGGUGUAGCGGUGAAAUGCUUAGAUAUCACGAAGAACUCCGAUUGCGAAGGCAGCUCACUGGACUGCAACUGACACUGAGGCUCGAAAGUGUGGGUAUCAAACAGGAUUAGAUACCCGAGUAGUC
rnacentral:rRNA from 1 species